CUAGAGCGAGCGGGAUUGGGCGUCCCUCCUCUCUUCUGUGAAAAUAUCUCCUCUCUCCCCUCUUCUCUGUGCCGCCGCCGCCGCCGCCUCCGCUUCCCCCCUCCCUCUCGGCCGCCUUGUCUCCUCCGCGUCCACCGUCUGCUUCUCCCCUUGUCUCGGCACCCGAGUAGCACGGCCACAUCACGCCUGCGCCCUCGCUUUGCCACAUCCUCUGCGUCGUCGUGCCAUCACACCGCCUCCACUUCGCCUUUGGUUCCCCGCCGCAGCCUCCUGCCCGUGCGCUUGAGAGGGGCAUCGCCGUCGUUGCCGGUGGCGACUUCAUCGGCCGCCUCCUCUCUCCUUGCCAAUCGUGACUGCCACGACCUCGGACCUCGCUGCAGACCCCUCGGCUAUCAGGGAAGGCAGCCAUCAGUGGAGAUUGAGCCGGCUACAUGGGUGCACUUACCAGGCUCUAUUUAUAUUACCCACUUUCCGUUUGGAUAAUGUUACUUUGCUUGUAAUUUUGAGAUUAAACUAUUAGCUUACUAUCAGGUCUGCACCAUUCUAGAUAUCAUCUUGACUUUUAACUUCUCCAAAUGCAACAUUGGAUAACAUAAAUAGGAAUUUUUGUCAAAUUGUGAAACUGUAAUUAAUAGAUUCACCUGAAUAUUAAUCUGUUGUGUUAUUGCAGGGAAGAGGUAUGAAAUUCUCAACUUAGGAGGGAGCAUACACAAGGUAUUCCACGCUUCCCAUUCUCCUCAUGUAGCAAAGGAACAUCCAACCUGUCAUGUGUCGAUCACUAAGUAAUAAACAGGACUCUGAUGUUGGAAAGAAGCAACUGGAUAUCAAAGCAAAAGGAACACGGCUCCUCUUAUAAAUCAGUGAACUAUCCUAAUUCUGGACUCUUAUGGCCCUAUAUAUGCCAAGCAGUCACAACUGCUGUUUUAGACAAACUAAAAAAAAAAUUUAACUUUGCAGUGUAAGCAGACCCUUGAGUAGGAGAGCAACAUGACUGCUAGCUUCCCUGCUGCAUUACAGGAGAUGGAUACGAAGUCCUCGGAGGAGGAAUACAAAGCUCUACAAGGUGAUGGAGCUGGAGAUGUUGUGUAUUUCCAGUCUCUUGAAGAACGAAUCAUUAAUAUGAAGAUUUUGCAGGGAUGUAUAUAUAUGAUCAUGUUUCACUGGGAUCCUCAACUGUUCCGGUUCGUAUUUAGCAGGAUCACAUGUUGACCAAUGACUCAAAUUAAUUUUCUCACUGAUCCUGUUUACUCAAGAACUUGUGACCCAGUUCCAGGACAACUAUGGACUAAGGGAUGGAGGUUGAUUUAUCAUGAGGCGGUUACAGGCAUGCAUGUUUUAUGGUGGCAAGCAUUAUAUAUCAUUGAAGACUCACCAUUUGUUCAAGUUCCUAACAUGCUAAUCGGCAACCUUUAGAAGAUUGCCCUUCAAAAUUUUCUUGCCUGCUCUCCUUGCCCCUGAGCUCCUGUACCAGCAACAACAACUUGUGUGUGGUAUCAGCCAGAGAUUAGCGUUGAUUUUUUCAAGUUAUUGGGACACUCGAGAACUAGCAGUACCACAUAAAAAAGUCUGGAGUUAGCAGAACCAGAAGCAUUACACUGAGGCGCUCAGAAGAAACCCAAAGGAUCCAAAGGUAUACGGCAACACGGCUUCCUGUUACACCAAGACGGAUGCCAUGCCUGAAGUACUGAAGGAUACCAAGAAGUGCAUCGAGCUAUAUCCCACAUUCUACAAGGGAUGCACAAGGAAGGGUGCAAUCCUGUUUGUCUCUAAAGAAUGCGACAAAGCAAGGGAACGAGUGUUCCUGAGUGGUUUUCUUAUUGCUUGAUCAAAACUACAAGCAGAGCAAAUUUAAAGUCCUGCUGUUCUCUUUGCAAAUUUAAGGUCCUGCAAAUUUAAGCUACAAUGGAAAAAGUGAAGAUUCCAGUAAAAGUGCUUCUAGACGCUAUGAUGCACCAGCUUGGCCUCCCAAAUGCAGUUUACUCAACACAAAAAGGGGCGGACGGUCGGUCUUGAUCCCAAAUGCAGUUUACUCAACACAAAAAGGGGCGGACGGUCGGUCUUGAUGCAAUAGUUCACUUCUAUGGAUGUAAGCAGCAACUGGACAAUAGACUUUCACAAAAAUCAAUAUCCAUCCAUGUGUAUGAUAAACUCGAAGAAGCUGAAGAUCAACUAGCAACUGAGGCUCUCAGGUGCAUACAAGGUUCUUACAACACAGUUCUACAAGACAUAAACUACGACAAGGCACAUCUAGCUCAAGAAAAAUGUUAGACUCUAGAGCAUCAGCAAAAAAGAUAAGGACGGAAGAAUCAACUAUUUUAGCAGCAGUGGAGAUCAAAUUGCAGCAAAGGAACUUUAUCGCAUAACAGAUACAAACUAGCUGGCUCAAUAUCCAAAGACAACAAUCUCAAUCAUGUUUUAUCACAGGUAACAUAUGCUGCUGACCGUCUUAGCGAUACAACAACACAGUCUGAAUAUGAUCUCCAGCAAAUAAACCACUAUUAUUGGGGCCUGGACGAUGAUAUCGAAGGAAUUUCUGCUUUGAGCAAUGCAGGCCACGAAGAAUAGCAGUUAUGAAGAGUUGCCUCAAAGAGGUCGUUCUAAACAUCCAGCGAUACAUCUGUCUAACGUAUCUUUGCCUAUCUACAUGCCUUGCUCAUAACAUGUAAAUGAUCGUUCGUAAGCUUCUUAGGAAACAUGUAUCAUCAGCAACCAUCUAUCUAUCAUCAAUCCAUACUUAUUUCCAUA